AUACGGAGGGCGCGAGCGUUGUUCGGAAUCACUGGGCGUAAAGCGGGUGUAGGCGGCCUGUCAAGUCAGAUGUGAAAGCCCACGGCUCAACCGUGGAAGUGCAUCUGAAACUGGCAGGCUUGAGUACCGGAGAGGGAAGUGGAAUUCCUGGUGUAGGGGUGAAAUCCGUAGAUAUCAGGAGGAACACCGGUGGCGAAGGCGACUUCCUGGACGGAUACUGACGCUGAGACACGAAAGCGUGGGGAGCAAACAGGAUUAGAAACCCUAGUAGUCC
rnacentral:rRNA from 1 species